rnacentral:rRNA from 1 species
GACGAACGCUGGCGGCGUGCUUAACACAUGCAAGUCGAACGGAAAGGCCCUGCUUUUGUGGGGUGCUCGAGUGGCGAACGGGUGAGUAACACGUGAGUAACCUGCCCUUGACUUUGGGAUAACUUCAGGAAACUGGGGCUAAUACCGGAUAGGAGCUCCUGCUGCAUGGUGGGGGUUGGAAAGUUUCGGCGGUUGGGGAUGGACUCGCGGCUUAUCAGCUUGUUGGUGGGGUAGUGGCUUACCAAGGCUUUGACGGGUAGCCGGCCCGAGAGGGUGACCGGCCACAUUGGGACUGAGAUACGGCCCAGACUCCUACGGGAGGCAGCAGUGGGGAAUAUUGCACAAUGGGCGGAAGCCUGAUGCAGCAACGCCGCGUGCGGGAUGAAGGCCUUCGGGUUGUAAACCGCUUUCGCCUGUGACGAAGCGUGAGUGACGGUAAUGGGUAAAGAAGCACCGGCUAACUACGUG